CUGGACACAACAGCAAUCACUGUUUGUGAGGAUUAAAUCUAUUAAUACAUGAAAAGCAGAGUUGGAGCCAACAACUGUUUUUCUACCUGGGUCUCAUACAUUUUUCUAGGCUCCUAGAAGCUCUUACCUCUGGGAUCUCAUUGCACUGGCCAAGGCUGCUGGCUCGUCGGGGAUUUGCUCCUGUGUACUCUGGGAAAAGGCCUCUGCCAGCAAUUCCCACUUGUUCGAGGGCCACAGAAAGCUGUAGUCUUUUCUUCCCCUGGGUCUCACAAUCUCGUCUAGACACCCUGAUGAGGUGGAGGAUGUAAUUACACCUGGAAACACUCUGUGCACCAGUCACCCAGUUCCUCAUGUGUGUGACUCA